rnacentral:rRNA from 1 species
UACGAAGGGGGCUAGCGUUGCUCGGAAUCACUGGGCGUAAAGCGCACGUAGGCGGAUUGCUAAGUCAGGGGUGAAAUCCUGGAGCUCAACUCCAGAACUGCCUUUGAUACUGGCGACCUUGAGUCCGGGAGAGGUGAGUGGAACUGCGAGUGUAGAGGUGAAAUUCGUAGAAAUUCGCAAGAACACCAGUGGCGAAGGCGGCUCACUGGCCCGGUACUGACGCUGAGGUGCGAAAGCGUGGGGAGCAAACAGG